GCUCUGGUCUAAAGGUAAGACUCUCGUUUCGGGUGCGAGAAAUUCUGGGUUCAAUUCCC
rnacentral:tRNA from 17 species